GUGGGGAAUAUUGGUCAAUGGACGAGAGUCUGAACCAGCCAAGUAGCGUGCAGGAUGACGGCCCUAUGGGUUGUAAACUGCUUUUGUGCGGGAAUAACGUUGUGCUCGUGAGCGCAAGUGCAUGUACCGUACGAAUAAGGAUCGGCUAACUCCGUGCCAGCAGCCGCGGUAAUACGGAGGAUCCGAGCGUUAUCCGGAUUUAUUGGGUUUAAAGGGAGCGUAGGCGGAAGAUCAAGUCAGCUGUGAAAUGUAGACGCUCAACGUCUGCACUGCAGUUGAAACUGGUUUUCUUGAGUGCGUAAGGGGCAGGCGGAAUUCGUCGUGUAGCGGUGAAAUGCUUAGAUAUGACGAAGAACUCCGAUCGCGAAGGCAGCUUGCCGGGCCGCAACUGACGCUGAAGCUCGAAGGUGCGGGUAUCGAACAGG
rnacentral:rRNA from 1 species